rnacentral:lncRNA from 1 species
CGUCCCCUAUUUAUACAACCAGAUGAGGCACCAAUAGAGAAGGCAUGCCUCAUCUGGAAUAGUAUAUCAAAUCCUCGUAUCACAUAUCUGAGAGUCUUUAAACAAAGGACUCUUCAGGGUGUGAUACGUCGAUUUCAGCCUUCUCACACAUGCACGCCCAGAAUGAGAUGCUUUUUGCAUCUCUUCUUACUUCAGAUUAGUGUGAAAUUUUGCCAUAUAAACCUUUGUUCAAAUAGAAAGGGCAUCA